CCCUUAGAUGUUCUGGGCAGCACGCGCGCUACAAUGGUCUUCGCAAACGGAUGCAUUCUCGAAGGAGAAUGCCAAUCUUGGAAUCUAUGCCUUGGUCGGGACAGUUGCUUGCAAUUUUUUGACUCGAACCAGGAAUUCCUUGUAAUCGUGAUUCAUCACAUCACGAUGAAUACGUCCCUGCCCUUUGUACACACCGCCCGUCGCUCCUACCGAUCGAAGAGUUAGGUGAAUUGUUUUGAUCGAUAAGAUUUGACUAUGGUCAACUCUCGUUGUGAAAUUCUGUGAAUCUGACUGUUUAGAGGAAGGAAAAGUCGUAACA
rnacentral:rRNA from 1 species